CGGUCGGCGCUCGCGAAUUUUUAGUCCGUAGAUCGGAAAUCGUAAUCCCAGUAUAGUAUAAAUGUAUAAUAUUUUGUUCGAGACUUUUAUUUAAAAUGUUUAUUUCGUUUUUCAGUUACCUACCUUAUAAGAUCUACAGCUUAAAAAUAAUACGUCAUACGAUUUAAAUACAACGAACUUUAGUUUGGAACGUUCAAGUUUAGUACACCAACAUGGACGGCUCAUUCUAUUAUGAAUUUAUAAAUAUGAAUUCCUUCAAACAACAAAUUUGUGCGAUAAUAAUUCACUCCAAUUACACAGUGAUUUAGCAAGUAAUCCUAAUGGGUUAUUUUGGAUUACCUUACAAAGAAUAAUGUUUGAAUAAAAGUUGUCGAAAUAUGGUAGUAAUACUUUUUAUUCUGAAAUCAAGGGAUGAUACAUAUUUUGUUAAAGAUACCAUAAUGAUUCUCCCAAAGGGUGAACUGUAUACACAAUAUUUUAACACCAUUUGACCAAUAAUGACUAAUAUGAUACCAUGAACCAGCUUAAUAUUUUGAAGAUUGAAGCAUAUUUUCUUUUCCAAACAGAGUUUUUGUUGUUGA